rnacentral:rRNA from 1 species
UACAGAGGUCUCAAGCGUUGUUCGGAUUCAUUGGGCGUAAAGGGUGCGUAGGCGGCGCGGUAAGUCGGGUGUGAAAUUUCGAGGCUUAACUUCGAAACUGCAUUCGAUACUGCCGUGCUUGAGGACUGGAGAGGAGACUGGAAUUUACGGUGUAGCGGUGAAAUGCGUAGAUAUCGUAAGGAAGACCAGUGGCGAAGGCGGGUCUCUGGACAGUUCCUGACGCUGAGGCACGAAGGUCAGGGGAGCAAACGGG